AUUUAUUUAGUAUAAUAGUACUAUUAAUUUCCAAUUAAAAGGUCUGAUAAACAGAAUAAAUA
rnacentral:tRNA from 1 species